UACGUAGGGUGCAAGCGUUAAUCGGAAUUACUGGGCGUAAAGCGUGCGCAGGCGGUUGUGCAAGACCGAUGUGAAAUCCCCGGGCUUAACCUGGGAAUGGCAUUGGUGACUGCACGGCUAGAGUGUGUCAGAGGGGGGUAGAAUUCCACGUGUAGCAGUGAAAUGCGUGGAGAUGUGGAGGAAUACCGAUGGCGAAGGCAGCCUCCUGGGCCAACACUGACGCUCAUGCACGAAAGCGUGGGGAGCAAACAGG
rnacentral:rRNA from 1 species